AUUGAACGCUGGCGGCAUGCUUUACACAUGCAAGUCGAACGGCAGCGCGGGGCAACCUUGCGGCGAGUGGCGAACGGGUGCGUAAUAUAUCGGAACGUACCCAGAAGUGGGGGAUCACGUAGCGAAAGGUACGCUAAUACCGCAUACGAUCUAAGACUGACAGCAGGGGAACGCAAGGCCUUAUGGUAUUUGAGGGGCCGAUAUCUGUUUAGGUCGUUGGCGAGGUAACGGCUCACCAAGGCGCGGCCCAGCAGCGGGUCUUAGAGGACGACAAGCAACAUGGAACCUGGACCACGUCCCAGACUCUAAGGGAAGGCAGCAGGGGGGAAUUUUGACAAAGGGGCGCAAGCCUGAUCCAGCAAUGCCGGGGGGGUGAAGAAGGCUUCCGGGUUGUAAAGCCUUUUUGUCAGGAAAAAAAGGGUAGAGGCUAAUACCCUUUGCUAAGGACGGUACCUAAAGAAUAAGCACCGGCUAACUACGG
rnacentral:rRNA from 1 species